CUCAAUGUCACCAUGUCGUGCAUGCUGUGUUCACUGUAAUUAGAAUGAACAUUGUACACCUUUCAAAUUGUUACAUACACAAACCUUUUUUUAUAUUGUAUCAUUCAAUUUGUGAGCCGAAUAAAAAAAAAAAUGUCGUUUAGAGCAGGCAAUGUGCAAAACUGACCAUAAUUUUAAGUCUAAAGGUUUGAGGUCUGGGCUAGAUGAAGGCCAGUCUUCAAUUCUUAUAAAGUCCGGAACGUUGGUUUCAAGCCAGGCUUGGGUAGUUCGUGCCUUGUGACCAGGUGCAGAAUCCUGCUGGAAAGUCCACGGUAUAUUUGUAAAAAGUGUAUUGCUGAGAGGUUUCACAACAUGAUCCAAGACUGUAUCUUGAUACACUUUGGCUGAAGUUUUCACUCCUUUUUCACAAACAUGUAGUUUUGUGAGUCCUUGAUAAGACACGAUCCACCAAACCAUCACUGACGCAGGAUGAUGACCACGUUGUACCUUUCCGACAACUUGAGCAGUUUCUUUAGAACUAUGAGCAUACACUUUAUCAUUUUGCUUAUUGUAGUGUUCUUCAGUCGUG
rnacentral:misc_RNA from 1 species